AUGAUUUUAACUAAUUGUACUUAUGUCUUUGAAAGUUGCUGCCACCGACAGAUGAUGAAAUCUGAUUCCUGGUGCUCGGUUUCUAUUCAGCCUUUGAGUCUUCGAUUACUUCUCGUUUCAUGACCCAUGUUGGCGUUGGAUUCUACUUCCCAACUACAACCUCCCUUUGGCAGAACUGCUAGGUUAUACAUGGAUUACCAUUGACCCUAUGCACAAUGUGUUUGGAUUACAAGAAUUAGAAGCUAAAUGGUUAGUCUUUGUCUAGUUUAUGGUAAGUAACGUGCUAAGAAUCAUGUUAACCUCAUUCAAAUAUAUCUUAGUGUAGGUAAUUUCCAAUUCCCAGUUCGUGGAUCUUAGUAAUAGCUAUGUCAUGCAUGUAGGUUAGACACAAUGUUGCUCGAAACAAAGGGCUCUUGGACUACAGCUAAAAAGGCUUAUUCAAGCAUUCUAGAGGAUAAAUUAUCCAAUUCCAAUUAUACAUCACCUUUUUUUACUAAUCAGUUUGUGUUUAAUACAUAUUUUAAUUUGUUAGAGUAUAUGGUCAACGAGGUCAAUAUAGAUGAAUGCAAAGCUCUAUAAAUGAAUGCUUAACUCUACAGGGAUUGUGGGACAUCAAUGGCUGGUCUUUGAAGGCUUUCGGCUAUGAUUUCGACCAAGGUGACUACCACAGUUUUGUCCAUGGGAGAUUGACCUAUGAAUAUCUGAAACCCAACCCGGUUUUGAGAAGUCUGUUACAAUACAUAGCCUGUCCAUAAGGAAAGUUAUUUUCUUGAAUGCAAACAAGGCACAUGUGGCUGAAGUUCUUUAUCGACUUGGACUGUUGGAUUGCUUUAAUGAUGGUAAUGAUAGUAGAUGUGGUGUUAUACUACUCGGGAGUCCUAUUAUUUGAAACCCUUUGAAAAUGUGUUCCAACAGCCUUUUAAGAUGGCAAAGAUUAACCUUCGUAAAAGCUUGCUGACAUCAGCAACAUGCCACAAGGAUUUACAGGUUUAAACCAAGGUCACAAGUUUGGGCCAAGUCCCAAUGCUUUAAAAAGGCAUAUUGAGAGUUGGGGUAUUCGGAUUUGGAGAGAUGGAGGAUGGUUGGUUGAAUUUCUUUCUUCAUUUGCUGACUUCACAGAAUAUGGGAGGUAAGCAAGUACAGCUUAUUAUGUUGCCUCUGUGUUUGCAAGCAUUUCUUCACUUAAUAUCGAAGAUAACCAAAGUGAUGGUAAUAUGAGCAUGAACUUGAGGAAGCGUGGGAAGGAGAAAAUUAUAAAUAAGACAAAGCUCUUAAUGCUGAUCGGACCUACCUUAAGUUCAAGAUAUGGGUAGAUUUAUUUAUAUUUGUGUUAGUGACUCUUA
rnacentral:lncRNA from 1 species